rnacentral:rRNA from 1 species
GACGAACGCUGGCGGCGUGCUUAACACAUGCAAGUCGAACGGUGAAGCGCCUUCCUUUUUGGUGGGUGUGGAUGAGUGGCGAACGGGUGAGUAACACGUGAGUAACCUGCCCCCUUCUUCUGGAUAACCGCAUGAAAGUGUGGCUAAUACGGGAUAUUCUGGGUCUGUCGCAUGAUGGGUCUGGGAAAGAUAUUGUUUCGGUGGGGGAUGGGCUCGCGGCCUAUCAGCUUGUUGGUGGGGUGAUGGCCUACCAAGGCGGUGACGGGUAGCCGGCCUGAGAGGGUGGACGGCCACACUGGGGCUGAGACACGGACCCGACUCCUACGGGAGGCAGCAGUGGGGAAUAUUGCACAAUGGGCGCAAGCCUGAUGCAGCGACGCCGCGUGAGGGAUGGAGGCCUUCGGGUUGUGAACCUCUUUCGCCAGUGAAGCAGGCCUGCCUCGUUUGUGGGUGGGUUGACGGUAGCUGGAUAAGAAGCGCCGGCUAACUACGUG